AUACAUGAAAAACAUCAUAAAAGUUUUUCCAAUAUUGAUAACUAAAAUCAAUCAAUAACCAAGAAUCCCAUGUGAUGCAACAAGCUCCGGACUCAAUAAUACAAUCUCUCAACCUGUCUUUUAAUUUUUGAAUCACUGUUUCAAACUGACUAUCAAAUUUGAAGAAAUUUUUGCAGGGCAGUACUGAAAUUUCAACCAAGUUUUCACCAUAUUCUGAUAUGCAGAUCAUGCCAAGUAUCACAUCAAAACUACUCUUGCCUUUGUUCAGACCUUGAUAUUACAAGUUCUUCCAGAUAAUUUUGGGCCGUAGACAGUGCUACACGUUCUCCUCGGUUAAGAUUAGAAGCCCUACUUUCUAUUUCUUCAUUUGAAGCAUCUUUAGAAUUUCGGGACAUCUUCUAUCCAUAUCACACAAUUUAGCUUUAUCAAUAAAAAAAAAUCACAUCUCAUCACAUUAGUAAACAAACGACAUGUACUUCUAGAUUUAUUUUUGACCUUAGGAUUAAAAAACUGGAUUUUGAUACCAAUGAAUGUAAAACCCCUAUAUCCGAGCCGACCAUCCGAGUCAAAAUAUAUGAAUGUCACAUUUGAUGCUAGAGUAGCCUUAGCCAUACUAUUAAAUCGAACCUUUUAUAGAAAAUAUUCUAAUAUUAUUAACGUGUUAUUUUCA